rnacentral:ncRNA from 2 species
AUUUAAUAGUUAUUCUAUGGUGCCUUUUCAAAAGGUUAAAAGGGAAAUGGGUUAAAAGCCCAUGCAGCCCCCGUUACUGUAUUGAGGAUGAAACCUAUAUGAACCACUGAAGCGAGAGCUUCGGGAAGGAUAGGGAGUAGGAAGAAUCAGAGCCAGAAGACCUGCCAUAGAAAGUAAGGUUUA